UCUCUCUCUCCGAACCACUCCUUCAAAAUGCAGGAGAUAUACUGAAACCCCCAACCCUUCCUUUCUCCACUCCUAUCCUUCAUCCCACACCCUAAAUCUACAGAAACCCCUUCAACCAGCCGAGCCCUAGAUCUGUAGAAACCCCUUCAACUAGCUGAUCCCUAGAUCUGCAGAAAGCCCUUCGACCAACCAAAAUGCACUCCCAAAACUUGCUCUCUCAAAGGCAUUUUUAGGGGAGGCUACUUCCCCAAUGCAAUCCGAUAUUAUCAGAGAUCCCUCUCUGAGGUGUGUUCUUUUAUGCAAAAUCUGAAUAUUCCGAUUCAAAAUCUACAGAUGGUUGAGAGGUGUACUGGAAAUCCAUAGAAACAGAGAUCAAAUCCCUAUUAGAGAAGCUCUUGGAUGUUAAGAAUGCAAUGUCCACUCCUGCAAUCCCCACAACCUCCAUCACCCAGAAGCUUACAUGUCACAGAGAGAUCCUUUGCAAAUUCACUUAAUGAUGCAAUAUGCAGGAUAGAUGUCCUGUUAGAACUGGUGAUUGAGAACCACUUUUCCCCAAAUGAUGGUACUCUUGAGUUUGAAAUUGGCUAGCAAUAAGGAAUGGGAUGAAGGAGCGCAACACAAACAUUUUGGAGAUAGUUCGCUCUUUAGAUCUCCCAAACAAUCCCUUGGAUGAUAUUAUUGAUUAAGGAAUAUUUGAAUUUGGAGGUCUCCUCUUGAGGGUGGAUUCUUGAAGACUAGGUGUUGUUUUGGCUUGAGUUCAUGUUCUGUUUGAAAGCUUUCAAUUUCUAUUUUGGUUGUUGGAUUUGUGGAAAAAUGGCUUGUAUGAAAUUGGGAUCGAAAUUUGAUGCAUUCCAACGACAAGGGCAGGCAUGGCGGGUUGCAUCGGGCGACGUGGUCGAGAAGACUAUUGAGAGGAGGUAGAAGAGAAUGAUCAAGAACAGGGAGUCUGCUACUCGAUCAGGGGCCAGGAAGCAGGCGUACACGAACGAGCUGGAGAACAAGGUUUCACAUCUGGAAGAAGAGAAUGAAAGGCUCAAGAAGCAGAAGGUGUCUGCUUAUAAUGAGAAGGAUGUUAACUACAGAUGGACAAGUGCGACUUGCAUCCUAAAAUGGGCCAUGUAUAAUCAGAGUCCUUUCUGUCCUCAG